rnacentral:tRNA from 1 species
ACACUCACCAAUUUCAGAAGAUUACUUUGAAACUAUCAGCCCAAAUAAAAAUAAAGCGAAGCGUCGCCCCCGGGAGGGCUCGAACCUCCAACCUUUCGGUUAACAGCCGAUCGCGCUAGCCAAUUGCGCCACGGAGACAGUCGUGCUCCACUCUCACCAGUGUCAGAACACUCCUUCGAAGCCAGUGUGAAGAAAUAAAAAUAAAGCGAAGCGUCGCCCCCGGGAGGGCUCGAACCUCCAACCUUUCAGUUAACAGCCGAUCGCGCUAGCCAAUUGCGCCACGGAGACAGUCGUGCUCCACUCUCACCACCGUCAGAACACUCCUUCGAAGCCAGUGUGAAG